GUCACUCGACUCAACUUUUCUAACUUUGACUUCAGCAAACUUAAGAGAGGAGUAGCUGACAUGAUGUAAAUGGACGUCAGAGUCACUGUCCUCCUGGUUCUCAGCCUCCUUCACUUCUCCACAGGCUCUGGUGGGGUCGCAGCUGCAGACGACAGACAAAUAAAGACAACAACUGUCAGUCAAAGUGGCUGAUCUACACUCAGUAAAUCCUCUGUAGACCAGACCGUCUCAUUUGGGCCUUCGUGGUCUACCUGGCCGAUGAAGGAGGCGGUCUCCAUGGCCAGGUAGACAACGUAUAUCGGAAGAAUGCACCCCCUGAAUAGAGACACAGCUAGAGGCUCUCCAUCCACCUACCUCUAAUACCAGGAGACACGCUGCACUCUGGUACCAGGAGAAGGUGUGGACAGGUGGGUUGGCGUCACUGCUGCAGGUCAGCGUCACAGGGAGGCUCCUCUGUAGCUCUCCAGGUGGAGAGAUGGACACAUGUGUAUUUCGAGUCUGCAUCUGACAGUAGUAGCUGCCAGAGUCAUCAGAAGCAACGGCGCUGAUGUUCCACACCUGUCCGUUGUAUCUCGGGGUUGCGCUUGUGCUCUUGAACCAUCUGAAACUGGCCUGUGGAUUGGCUGAAGGGCUGCAGCAGGCCAGACGUAAAUCAACGCCCUCAGUGAUGCCACCAGACAGACUCGCUGAUGUUGACACUGCACUGGAGGAAUCUGGAGAAAAGAUAUGAGAUUAGAUAAUUGACUUUAUAUGUGUUCAUGUAGACGAGAUUCAUCAUUGGAUGUAACAGUCAGUAACUGUGUUAGUUGUUUGUUAGAAAAUAGUUUCUUUAUGUAAAAAGUUGUCUUUUUUACGGAGAUAUUAGUUCUGUUGAAA